rnacentral:lncRNA from 10 species
CUACUGUCUUCCUCGAAACGUGUGAAAGCAAUGAGAUCAUUCCUCUUCUCUGAGGUGGGGGAGAUGGGGAGACCGGCCUGAGAUACAAAAAGAAAAUUAUGAGGUCCCAGGAUUCUCGUUCCACGGGGGCUCUUUCUAUGCCCAGAGGAAAGGAACUUUCUUCUCUCUGAAGACGCAGGGUCACAGAGAAGAAUCUGAACAAAUCAGCUUUGCUAAGUUCCCACAAGUUUCUUGCAUACUUUUAAAAAAUACAGUCACUCUUCUCCAGGUCUACUUAGUUCUCCAUCAAACCAAGCA